CCAGAGGUCAUACCAUAUGAGAUGUGGGUUGUAAAUCUAAGAUUGCUUUGACAUAUCCAAUUCUUUGAUAAGGAUUUAAGGAGUAGUCCAUGUCUUUGGGGGACGAAGGAUAUCUCCCCUACCAUUAUAUGAGCUGUGAGAGUGGUGGUUCUCUUCCGGGGAUCAAGUUUGCAGCCAACUCUGAGCCCAAAAUUACGUCCCAUAUGGCUGCAGUGGAGAUGAUACAACGAUGCAAGCAAUAAAAAAAAAAUGGGUGCGGAAAGAGUCUGUGGAGAAAAGUGAAGUAAUUCUUGACGAUACCUUGGAAAGCACGACGUAAUUGUUUUUUAGAUUAUAAAGAUGCUGUUUGAUCUGCUUGCCAUCCAACCUCAGCAACAUUGGAGAAGUAUAUUUGGGCUCCUCUAAAGAGAACAGCAGUGAUAGUUGACUUCCUAGCGUGUUUUUGUCUAAUCCAUAAAUGUAUAGCUAGUCGCAGGUAACGAAGGGUAAUAGGAUAACAUCAAAACAACUGACA
rnacentral:sRNA from 2 species